CCUACGGGAGGCUGCAGUGGGGAAUAUUGGACAAUGGGCGAAAGCCUGAUCCAGCCAUGCCGCGUGUGUGAAGAAGGCCUUCGGGUUGUAAAGCACUUUCAGUGGGGAAGAAAGCCUUGGGGCUAAUACCCUCGAGGAAGGACAUCACCCACAGAAGAAGCACCGGCUAACUCCGUGCCAGCAGCCGCAGUAAUACGGAGGGUGCGAGCGUUAAUCGGAAUUACUGGGCGUAAAGCGCGCGUAGGCGGUCUGAUAAGCCGGUUGUGAAAGCCCCGGGCUCAACCUGGGAACGGCAUCCGGAACUGUCAGGCUAGAGUGCAGGAGAGGAAGGUAGAAUUCCCGGUGUAGCGGUGAAAUGCGUAGAGAUCGGGAGGAAUACCAGUGGCGAAGGCGGCCUUCUGGACUGACACUGACGCUGAGGUGCGAAAGCGUGGGUAGCAAACAGGAUUAGAUACCCUAGUAGUC
rnacentral:rRNA from 1 species